AGCAGGCGCGAAAACUUUACAAUGUCGGCAACGGCGAUAAGGGAACCUCGAGUGCCAGAUUACAAAUCUGGCUGUCGUGAUGCCUAAAAAGCAUUGCAUAGCAAGGGCCGGGCAAGACCGGUGCCAGCCGCCGCGGUAACACCGGCGGCUCGAGUGGUAACCGUUAUUAUUGGGUCUAAAGGGUCUGUAGCCGGCCGGGUAAGUCUCUUGGGAAAUCUGGCAGCUUAACUGUCAGGCUUUCAGGAGAUACUGCCUGGCUCGAGGCCGGGAGAGGUGAGAGGUACUUCAGGGGUAGGGGUGAGAUCUUGUAAUCCUUGAAGGACCACCAGUGGCGAAGGCGUCUCACCAGAACGGACCUGACGGCAAGGGACGAAAGCUAGGGGCACGAACCGGAUUAGAUACCCGGGUAGUCCUAGCCGUAAACGAUACUCGCUAGGUGUCGGCCACGGUGCGACCGUGGUCGGUGCCGUAGGGAAGCCGUGAAGCGAGCCACCUGGGAAGUACGGCCGCAAGGCUGAAACUUAAAGGAAUUGGCGGGGGAGCAC
rnacentral:rRNA from 1 species